CUAGGUGGAGCGGUGAAAUGCGUAGAUAUCUAGAGGAACGCCAGUGGUGAAAACGGGUCGCUGGGUGCAUGCUGACGCUCAGGUGCGAAAGCGUGGGGAGCGAACGGGAUUAGAUACCCCGGUAGUCACGCCGUAAACGAUGGGUACUAGGUUCGGGAGGGUUUGACCCCUUCUGGGCCGAAGCAAAAGUGAUUAGUACCCCGCCUGGGGAGUACGGUCGCAAGGCUAAAACUCAAAGGAAUUGACGGGGGCUCACACAAGCGGUGGAGCAUGUGGCUCAAUUCGAGGCAACGCGAAGAACCUUAUCCUGGGUUUGACAUGGUUGGAUGCUCUUGGUGAAAGCCAAGUAGGCUGCCUUCGGGUGAAACUACCACAGGUGCUGCAUGGCUGUCGUCAGCUCGUGCUGUGAAGUGUUGGGUUAAGUCCUGUAACGAGCGAAACCCUUAUCUUUAGUUACCAUCAGGUUAUGCUGGGGACUCUAGAGAGACUGCCGGUGUUAAACCGGAGGAAGGUGGGGAUGACGUCAAGUCCUCAUGGCCUUUAUGCCCAGGGCUGCACACGUGCUACAAUGGCUAGUACAAAGGGUUGCCAACUCGCGAGAGUGCGCUAAUCCCAUAAAGCUAGUCGUAGUCCGGAUCGGAGUCUGCAACUCGACUCCGUGAAGUCGGAAUCGCUAGUAAUCGCAGAUCAGAAUGCUGCGGUGAAUACGUUCCCGGGCCUUGUACACACCGCCCGUCACACCAUGGGAGUUGGCUGCAAAAGAAGUAGGUAGACUAACCUUCGGGAGGUCGCUUACCACUUUGUGGUCAAUGACUGGGGUGAAGUCGUAACAAGGUAACC
rnacentral:rRNA from 1 species